GACGAACGCUGGCGGCGUGCUUAACACAUGCAAGUCGAGCGGUAAGGCCCUUUCGGGGGUACACGAGCGGCGCACGGGUGAGUAACACGUGGGUGACCUGCCCUCAGCUCUGGGAUAAGCCUGGGAAACUGGGUCUAAUACCGGAUAUGACUCCAUGACGCAUGUUGUGGGGUGGAAAGCCUUGUGCGGCUGAGGAUGGGCCCGCGGCCUAUCAGCUUGUUGGUGGGGUGAUGGCCUACCAAGGCGACGACGGGUAGCCGGCCUGAGAGGGCGACCGGCCACACUGGGACUGAGACACGGCCCAGACUCCUACGGGAGGCAGCAGUGGGGAAUCUUGCGCAAUGGGCGAAAGCCUGACGCAGCGACGCCGCGUGAGGGAUGACGGCCU
rnacentral:rRNA from 1 species